UACGGAGGGGGCGAGCGUUAUUCGGAAUUAUUGGGCGUAAAGGGCGCGUAGGCGGCUGGGCAAGUCAAAGGUGAAAUCCCUCGGCUCAACUGAGGAACUGCCUUUGAAACUGCCUGGCUUGAGGCCGGGAGGGGGUAGCGGAAUUCCCAGUGUAGCGGUGAAAUGCGUAGAUAUUGGGAGGAACACCAGUGGCGAAGGCGGCUACCUGGACCGGUACUGACGCUGAUGCGCGAAAGCGUGGGGAGCAAACGGG
rnacentral:rRNA from 1 species